AGCGGACGACGGUACUAACACUAUCGACGAGUCGAGGGCAGCACGGGGUAGCAAUACCUGGUGGCGACCGGCGCAAGGGUGCGUAACGCGUGAGCAACAUGCCCUAUACAGGGGGAUAAUCCAGGGAAACUUUGGUCUAAUAUCCCAUAGUAUUUAGAGGAGGCAUCUUCUAUAAAUUAAAGCUUCGGUGGUAUAGGAUUGGCUCGCGUGACAUUAGCUAGAUGGUGAGGUAACGGCUCACCAUGGCAAUGAUGUCUAGGGGUUCUGAGAGGAAGGCCCCCCACACUGGGACUGAGACACGGCCCAGACUCCUACGGGAGGCAGCAGUGAGGAAUAUUGGACAAUGGAUGGAAAUCUGAUCCAGCCAUGCCGCGUGCAGGAAGACAGCCCUAUGGGUUGUAAACUGCUUUUAUAUGGGAGCAAUAAGGUCUACGUGUAGACUGAUGAGAGUACCAUAUGAAUAAGCAUCGGCUAACUCCGUG
rnacentral:rRNA from 1 species